AGGACGAACGCUGGCGGCGUGCUUAACACAUGCAAGUCGAGCGGAAAGGCCUUUCGGGGUACUCGAGCGGCGAACGGGUGAGUAACACGUGAGUAACCUGCCCCCUACUUUGGGAUAACCCUCGGAAACGGGGGCUAAUACCGGAUAUGACCUUUCUCGGCAUCGGGUUUGGUGGAAAGUUUUUCGGUGGGGGAUGGGCUCGCGGCCUAUCAGCUUGUUGGUGGGGUAAUGGCCUACCAAGGCGACGACGGGUAGCCGGCCUGAGAGGGCGACCGGGCCAACGACUGGGACUGAGACACGGCCCAGACUCCUACGGGAGGCAGCAGUGGGGAAUAUUGCACAAUGGCGGAAGCCUGAUGCAGCGACGCCGCGUGAGGGAUGACGGCCUUCGGGUUGUAAACCUCUUUCAGCAGGACGAAGCGAGAGUGACGGUACCUGCAGAAGAAGCGCCGGCCAACUACGUGCCAGCAGCCGC
rnacentral:rRNA from 1 species